ensembl:lncRNA
AAAACAGUAGACUCAAGAAUGGAACGCAUUCUGCUUUUCCAGAUCCACUUGGUACAAGUGCAAAAGAAGCCGCAGAUGGAAGCACACAGAUGGACUCCUGCUGAUCAUACAGCUGUUUCUUUGUUGGUACAGAAAACCCACUGUGGGCGGGAGCAAUGGAGGAAGAGACAAUAUUAGAAUGCAAGGGACAUUCAGCCCUUCUAUCAGCAGACAGGUUGGCAGGAAAGAACAUGUGGAGUGGAGAGAAAGUUCCAGGUGUUACUGUUCCUUCGAAUGACAUCUUUGAUCUACAGCCAACAGGAUUCUUGAAUUUUAAAUCGAAGCUACUAGUGACUCAGACUUUAAUUGGACACACCUCUUGGCCGAGAAGAUUAAUAAUUAGUCCAUUUAACAUGAGGAAACUCUGUACCCUCAAGCCUUCAAAAUAAAUGUUACAGCAGAGAUGGAGAGGAAGUAAUUUAUUAUAAUAACUCUCCUAAAGUUGCCCAAAUGCAAGGAUAGUAAUUUACCAUGCUGUUCUCACUGUCAUCUCCUGCUGGCUCUCUAUCCUGAACCUCCCUGUGAUUCAAACUACAAAUGUUCCAGGGAAGUGAGGGUGUCAUAAGGGGAGGACUGCUCUGUGCAAGAUGGGACAGUGACUCAACUAGAGGCAAAAUCAGGCUUGGGUUUCUGACAAACGAGCAUUGGAAUUUGGAGCGCUAGGUGCCUGUGCUGAAUUUAGCACUAAUUAACAAGAGGAUAUUACUUGCCUAUGCUUCAGCUUUCUGGUGUAAAAUGAAGGAGUUAGAAGAGAAAAUCUGGGACAUCCCUUCCUGUUAGGAGAAAAAAAGAAGCACAUUUAUUUUAGGUCCAGGGGGUGGGAUUAGGAUGGGAAGGAAAGAGUCAAUUAAAUAUCCACAGGGGGAGGCAGGAAAUGGAAGGAACACAACCUAGCCUGGGCUCAGCUCUUUAAUGGUUGUUUCUGAGCAGGAAAACAGGGCAUGACCCUUCGAGGGGCUUUAGAGAUGAGAGUAACAUCCCCUUCCCUAAAGCAAGUAAAUGGGCUUUAUUUGUAUUGUUAUCAUUCAUAGCUUACCCACAUUUUACGCACAUGUUUUAUAUAGUCACUACUUAGUACUCUUUAAAGCCAAAUUAAAA